rnacentral:rRNA from 1 species
AGAGGUGAAAUUAUAGAAUAUUUUAUAAAUAUAAGAAUAUUAAGGAAGCUAAUAAAUUUUAAACAUAAACUAGGAUUAGAUACCCUAUUAUAUUAAAGUUUAAUAAAAAUAUCAGAUGAUUAAAAGAUAUGUUCUUUAAAUUUAAAGAAUUUGGCGGUAAUUUAGUCUUAUCAGAGGAACCUGUUUUUUAAUCGAUACGCCACGUAUAAUCUUGCUUAGUUUGUAUACCAUCAUUAUUAGAUAAUAUUAAAAGAUAUAAUUAUUGGGAUUAAAUUAUUAAAAAAAUUAGAUCAAGGUGCAGUUUAUAAAUAAGUUAAAAUGGGUUACAAUAAAUUUUAUUUUAAUGGAAUAGUUUCUAGGAAAGUGGAUUUGAUUGUAUGUAAGUUUAAUAAGCUUACAAGGAAGAGGCUCUAAAUUAUGUACAUAUUGCCCGUCGCUUUC